rnacentral:rRNA from 1 species
UAUGUGCGGAAGGGAUAAGUGCUGAAAGCAUCUAAGCAUGAAGCCCCCCUCAAGAUGAGAUUUCCCAUAGCGUAAGCUAGUAAGAUCCCUGAAAGAUGAUCAGGUUGAUAGGUUCGAGGUGGAAGCAUGGUGACAUGUGGAGCUGACGAAUACUAAUAGAUCGAGGACUUAACCA